AAUAGUUUUAUGCCACAUCAUUACUCUUAUCCUGAAUUUCAGGAUUUUAUCCUGAAUUUCAGUAUUUUAAUUUGGAUUUGAUUUUUUUCCAGGAUAAAAUCCUGAAAUUCAGGAUAAGAGUAAUGAUGUGGCAUAAAACUAUU
rnacentral:pre_miRNA from 1 species